CAGGUGAUCAUACGAUGUUGACUAGUCACAUACAGCACUUACUGUGAAGACCCUGAAUGCUGCAGACAGAAGCCCAUGCUGAACGGAAUGCAGUUCUGAUGCCAACACACCAAAAUUGUCGAGACUACGUGGCUUCCCGAUCGUGACUAUGGGAAGGGAAGAGGGAAGGGUGGUCUUUCUUGCAGCUAUUGCUGCUGAUUCAAUAAGACACAGAAAAAUAAGAGCAACAAGCAAGCCUGUUCUUCUUGGGUCUCAGAAAGAAGAAGAAAGAAGAGAGAGA